rnacentral:rRNA from 1 species
CACGAAGCAAUCGGAAGUGGUUCCAAGAAAAGCCUCUAAGCUUCAGUCAUACGAGACCGUACCGCAAACCGACACAGGUGGGCGAGAUGAGUAUUCUAAGGCGCUUGAGAGAACUCGGGAGAAGGAACUCGGCAAAUUGGUACCGUAACUUCGGGAAAAGGUACGCCCCGGUAGCUUGACCACUUUACUGUGGAAGGGUGAAAGGGUUGCAAUAAACUGGUGGCUGCGACUGUUUAAUAAAAACACAGCACUCUGCAAACACGAAAGUGGACGUAUAGGGUGUGACGCCUGCCCGGUGCUGGAAGAUUAAAUGAUGGGGUGCAAGCUCUUGAUUGAAGUCCCAGUAAACGGCGGCCGUAACUAUAACGGUCCUAAGGUAGCGAAAUUCCUUGUCGGGUAAGUUCCGACCUGCACGAAUGGCGUAACGAUGGCCACACUGUCUCCUCCCGAGACUCAGCGAAGUUGAAAUGUUUGUGAUGAUGCAAUCUACCCGCGGCUAGACGGAAAGACCCCAUGAACCUUUACUGUAGCUUUGCAUUGGACUUUGAACCAAUCUGUGUAGGAUAGGUGGGAGGCUUUGAAGCGGGGACGCUAGUUCUCGUGGAGCCAACCUUGAAAUACCACCCUGGUUUGUUUGAGGUUCUAACCUUGGUCCGUUAUCCGGAUCGGGGACAGUGCAUGGUAGGCAGUUUGACUGGGGCGGUCUCCUCCUAAAGUGUAACGGAGGAGUUCGAAGGUACGCUAGAUACGGUCGGACAUCGUGUUGAUAGUGCAAUGGCAUAAGCGUGCUUAACUGCGAGACUGACAAGUCGAGCAGGUACGAAAGUAGGACAUAGUGAUCCGGUGGUUCUGUAUGGAAGGGCCAUCGCUCAACGGAUAAAAGGUACUCUGGGGAUAACAGGCUGAUUCCUCCCAAGAGUUCAUAUCGACGGGGGAGUUUGGCACCUCGAUGUCGGCUCAUCACAUCCUGGGGCUGUAGCCGGUCCCAAGGGUAUGGCUGUUCGCCAUUUAAAGUGGUACGUGAGCUGGGUUUAAAACGUCGUGAGACAGUUUGGUCCCUAUCUGCCGUGGGCGUUGGAAAUUUGAAGGGGGCUGCUCCUAGUACGAGAGGACCGGAGUGGACGAACCUCUGGUGUACCGGUUGUCACGCCAGUGGCAUUGCCGGGUAGCUAAGUUCGGAAGAGAUAACCGCUGAAAGCAUCUAAGCGGGAAACUUGCCUUGAGAUGAGAUUUCCCAGAGCCUUGAGCUCUUUGAAGGGUCGUUCGAGACCAGGACGUUGAUAGGCUGGGUGUGGAAGUGCAGUAAUGCAUUAAGCUAACCAGUACUAAUUGCCCGUACGGCUUGUCCCU